rnacentral:lncRNA from 10 species
GACAUCUCUUGUAUUAUUGGCUUGUCUUCCUAUUUAGUCUUGUGUCUGUCAUGGCUCCCAGUUCUACUGUAAGUACUUUGAGAAUAGAAACAAUAUGUCAUGCAUCUUUGUGUCUCCCUUCUUAUGCAGCAAAAUGGCUCUUGUAUAAUUGGUUCAUUCAACAUUCAGUCAAUAAAUACUUAUUGAGUUCCCAUAUUGUGCACUGUUUUAGGAACUGGGAGUACCUUGGUGUGAAAAUACACUGAAUUCUCCAUACCUA